ACAAGCAGCUUUUCUUCGUGCCGUUUAAUCCGUCGCUCAGCAGUAUCGUCGUGACGUUUUCGUUGACCUUCUUUUCUUACCGCGACGCACUGAAGCUUGUUUCAAUUAGCCGUUACAAGGAAGUUUGGUAUACCGGCUAAAAGUUGAUCCUGGAAAAAGUCGUUUCUUUAUACCUGUCUUGGACUACCCGUUUCGCUUUGAUUCUCAUACCUUUUUUCGUGACCAUACCAAUUCCUAAGACCAACAACCGCAUUGCAUAUGUCAAGUACGAUAUGUGGAUACUUACUAUCAUAAUAUUCACAAUCUCUGAUACUUAAUGAAAAAUGUUUUUCUCAUUCUGAAGACAUGCUGGACACAGGAUAAAGUGAGUGAUUCCUGACUCACGCCUGGAGGUCCCGUCCACGCUCUGGAUUGGCCUGAAAAUACCCCACUAUCAACUACUCAGCCCUCGACCAGAUUAACGCUCGCUCUUCGAAGUGAUUGCCACGAAAAAUUCGCCUGCAAAUUGAAUCUCCUGGAUUGCUCCCUUUUUCCCUCGCUUGUUCCUUAUUGCGUGGUUACUGGGUUGCUAGUCGACGGGAGAAUUAACGCCUGGGGCGUCACCGUCUAACGGGUGGCUUAAGGUGUUGCGAAUGUUGGUAGACUAUAAAUUUUGAAUUUACGUGCGAGAGAAAGAGAGUGAAAAUUGGAUAAGGGGAAACGAGAGAAGAAAAAAAAGUUAAUUGCUUCUUUCUCUAAUUAUAUACCCAUGUAAAAUAAAAUUCCCUAGAACCAACAGGGAAUUCUUGGUAUUUCUAAAAAAAAAAAUC